UAUUUGUGUUGGAAUUAAAAAAUAUUUACAUCCUGAAAUGUAUUGGUAUUUUAAUUAUACAUAUAUUCAUGUUAAUAUUAAUUACUAUUUUGUAUUGGCCUUGAAGAAAACGAAUAUAAGGCGACAUUGAUUUCUUUCUGUUACACUUCAAUUCAAGUUGUGACAACUGUUGUGGCAAAUUUCAAAAUGAAGGUACUUCUGUAUAUCACAAUUUUUUCGUUUAUUACGUUGUCUAUCGCUGCACCACCAGGAUCCCAUCCUAGUGAAGAGCUAAAUGAAGCUUUUAAGCCAAAAGCAAUUGAUGAGGAAUCAGCAGAAGCUAAUGCGUCAAACGAAGCAAAUGCGGCCAACGAAGCAAAUGCGGCCAACGAAGCAAAUGCGGCCAACGAAGCAAAUGCGGCCAACGAAGCAAAUGCGGCCAACGAAGCAAAUGCGGCCAACGAAGCAAAUGCGGCCAACGAAGCAAAUGCGGCUGAUCCGGAAUCAUCAAGGUGGCAUGGAAAAUGGAACACCAAUUCGUAGAAGAGGCAGGCAGUGCAGGAAGAAGAACAGGCUUAAUCACUAAUUAUUUGAUUUAAUCACAAAAUAUUAAUUAAUCUAAAUGUCUGAUUGUAAUGUUCAUGAAUAAAUUAAUAGCACAGA